rnacentral:lncRNA from 1 species
UACACACUGAGUUUCCCCAAACUCACCCCUUUUAUUUUCAUCCACGCAGGAAAUCCCCAACCAUAGUGGGCUUGGAGCUGUGAGGGAAUUCGGAGUGGCCACCCAUUCUGAAAGUUUGAUUUUCUUCUGGUGAACUUGACAUCCUUUUAAUUACGUUUGAGGUUUUGGGCUUUUAAAUGUAAUAAGGCCGCUUAUUUAUUUUUGAUGGUUUUUAUAUGUUUUAUUAAGAUAGGU